GAUGAACGCUGGCGGCGUGCCUAAUACAUGCAAGUCGAGCGAACAGACGAGGAGCUUGCUCCUCUGACGUUAGCGGCGGACGGGUGAGUAACACGUGGAUAACCUACCUAUAAGACUGGGAUAACUUCGGGAAACCGGAGCUAAUACUGGAUAAUAUAUUGAACCGCAUGGUUCAAUAGUGAAAGACGGUUUUGCUGUCACUUAUAGAUGGAUCCGCGCCGCAUUAGCUAGUUGGUAAGGUAACGGCUUACCAAGGCAACGAUGCGUAGCCGACCUGAGAGGGUGAUCGGCCACACUGGAACUGAGCCACGGUCCAGACUCCUACGGGAGGCAGCAGUAGGGAAGCUUCCGCAAUGGGCGAAAGCCUGACGGAGCAACGCCGCGUGAGUGAUGAAGGUCUUCGGAUCGUAAAACUCUGUUAUUAGGGAAGAACAAAUGUGUAAGUAACUAUGCACGUCUUGACGGUACCUAAUCAGAAAGCCACGGCUAACUACGUG
rnacentral:rRNA from 1 species